CAGCAGUGGGGAAUUGUUCGCAAUGGGCGCAAGCCUGACGACGCAACGCCGCGUGGAGGACGAAGAUCUUCGGGUCGUAAACUCCUUUCGAUCGGGACGAACGGCCCGCGGGUGAAUAGCCCGUGGGAGUGACGGUACCGAGAGAAGAAGCCCCGGCUAACUCCGUG
rnacentral:rRNA from 1 species